AUUGAACGCUGGCGGCAGGCCUAACACAUGCAAGUCGAACGAGAGGCGGACGGGUGAGUAAUGUCUGGGAAACUGCCUGAUGGAGGGGGAUAACUACUGGAAACGGUAGCUAAUACCGCAUACCAUCAGAUGUGCCCAGAUGGGAUUAGCUAGUUGGUGGGGUAACGGCUCACCAAGGCGACGAUCCCUAGCUGGUCUGAGAGGAUGACCAGCGACACUGGGACUGAGACACGGUCCAGACUCCUACGGGAGGCAGCAGUGGGGAAUAUUGCACAAUGGGCGCAAGGCUGAUGCAGCCAUGCCGCGUGUAUGAAGAAGGCCUUCGGGUUGUAAAGCACUUUAGGUUGGGAAGCGUUACCAACAGAAUAAGCACCGGCUAACUGCGUGCCAGCAGCCGCGGUAAUUC
rnacentral:rRNA from 1 species